GCUGGGCAUGGUGGCUCAUGCCUGUAAUCCCAGCACUUUGGGAGGCCGAGGCGGGUGGAUCACCUGAGGUCAGGAGUUUGAGACCAGCCUGACCAACAUGGUGAAACCCCGUCUCUA
rnacentral:sRNA from 1 species